ACCCCUCUGCUCUCCUCUCGCCUCUCCCCAGGGCUGCGGGCGGACGUGCAGCUGAUUGAGGACGGAGGGGGCCUCCAGCCGCCCGGCGGGAGCCUCCGCCUCUCCUGCAAGGCCUCCGGGUUCACCUUCAGCAGCUUCGGCAUGUUGUGGGUCCGGCAGGCGCCUGGGAAGGGGCUUGAGUGGGUCGCGAGCAUUCACAGCGGUGGUAGCACCUGGUACGCGUCUGCGGUGCAAGGGCGCUUCACCAUCUCCAAGGACAACGCGCAGAGCACGCUCUACCUGCAGAUGAACAGCCUCAAGGCCAAGGACACCGGCACCUACUACUGCGCGAAACAAGCUGGUAGUUGUAGAUCUGGCCCCAUCUUCCUUCCACCCUCUGUUCAGAUAGUGGUACACAUUGAUGAGCUCCACCCUGACUUGCCUCAUCUCCGUGCUGAGCAGUCCCAGCUCUCUCAGCCUUUCCUUGCAGGAGAUGCUCCAGUCACAUCAUCAUCUUAA